rnacentral:tRNA from 1 species
GGCAUUGUACUAUGGAAGAAAAGCCUAGAUUUGGAAUCUGAGGACCUGGGUUCAAAUCCCAGCUUUACUA